UGAGUUUGAUCCUGGCUCAGAGCGAACGCUGGCGGCAGGCUUAACCCAUGCAAGUCGAGCGCCCCGCAAGGGGAGCGGCAGACGGGAGAGUAACACGUAGGAACAUACCCUUCAGUUCGGAACAACCAAGGGAAACUUUGGCUAAUACCGUAUACGUCCGUAAGGAGAAAGAUUUAUCGCUGAAGGAUUGGCCCGCGUCUGAUUAGCUAGUUGGUGAGGUAACGGCUCACCAAGGCGACGAUCAGUAGCUGGUCUGAGAGGAUGAUCAGCCUCACUGGGACUGAGACACGGCCCAGACUCCUACGGGAGGCAGCAGUGGGGAAUAUUGGACAAUGGGCGCAAGCCUGAUCCAGCCAUGCCGCGUGGAUGAUGAAGGUCUUAGGGUUGUAAAAUCCUUUUAACGGGGAAGAUAAUGACGGUACCCGUAGAAGAAGCCCCGGCUAACUUCGUGCCAGCAGCCGCGGUAAU
rnacentral:rRNA from 1 species